CGUAGAGUUUUGAUCCUGGCUCAGGACGAACGCUGGCGGCGUGCUUAACACAUGCAAGUCGAACGGAAAGGCCCCUUCGGGGGUACUCGAGUGGCGAACGGGUGAGUAACACGUGGGUAAUCUGCCCUGCACUUCGGGAUAAGCCUGGGAAACUGGGUCUAAUACCGAAUAGGACCACUUAGCGCAUGCUUUGUGGUGGAAAGCUUUUGCGGUGUGGGAUGGGCCCGCGGCCUAUCAGCUUGUUGGUGGGGUGACGGCCUACCAAGGCGACGACGGGUAGCCGGCCUGAGAGGGUGUCCGGCCACACUGGGACUGAGAUACGGCCCAGACUCCUACGGGAGGCAGCAGUGGGGAAUAUUGCACAAUGGGCGCAAGCCUGAUGCAGCGACGCCGCGUGGGGGAUGACGGCCUUCGGGUUGUAAACCUCUUUCAGCAGGGACGAAGCGCAAGUGACGGUACCUGCAGAAGAAGCACCGGCCAACUACGUGCCAGCAGCCGCGGUAAUACGUAGGGUGCGAGCGUUGUCCGGAAUUACUGGGCGUAAAGAGCUCGUAGGUGGUUUGUCGCGUUGUUCGUGAAAACCGGGGGCUUAACCCUCGGCGUGCGGGCGAUACGGGCAGACUGGAGUACUGCAGGGGAGACUGGAAUUCCUGGUGUAGCGGUGGAAUGCGCAGAUAUCAGGAGGAACACCGGUGGCGAAGGCGGGUCUCUGGGCAGUAACUGACGCUGAGGAGCGAAAGCGUGGGGAGCGAACAGGAUUAGAUACCCUGGUAGUCCACGCCGUAAACGGUGGGUACUAGGUGUGGGUUUCCUUCCUUGGAAUCCGUGCCGUAGCUAACGCAUUAAGUACCCCGCCUGGGGAGUACGGCCGCAAGGCUAAAACUCAAAGGAAUUGACGGGGGCCCGCACAAGCGGCGGAGCAUGUGGAUUAAUUCGAUGCAACGCGAAGAACCUUACCUGGGUUUGACAUGCACAGGACGCUGGUAGAGAUAUCAGUUCCCUUGUGGCCUGUGUGCAGGUGGUGCAUGGCUGUCGUCAGCUCGUGUCGUGAGAUGUUGGGUUAAGUCCCGCAACGAGCGCAACCCUUAUCUUAUGUUGCCAGCGGGUAAUGCCGGGGACUCGUGAGAGACUGCCGGGGUCAACUCGGAGGAAGGUGGGGAUGACGUCAAGUCAUCAUGCCCCUUAUGUCCAGGGCUUCACACAUGCUACAAUGGCCGGUACAAAGGGCUGCGAUGCCGCAAGGUUAAGCGAAUCCUUUUAAAGCCGGUCUCAGUUCGGAUCGGGGUCUGCAACUCGACCCCGUGAAGUCGGAGUCGCUAGUAAUCGCAGAUCAGCAACGCUGCGGUGAAUACGUUCCCGGGCCUUGUACACACCGCCCGUCACGUCAUGAAAGUCGGUAACAC
rnacentral:rRNA from 2 species